rnacentral:rRNA from 1 species
UACGGAGGUGGCAAGCGUUGCUCGGAAUCACUGGGCGUAAAGGGCGCGUAGGCGGCCUGUUAAGUCGAACGUGAAAUUCCUCGGCUCAACUGAGGAACUGCACGGGAAACUGCUUGGCUUGAGUUCGGGAGAGGGAAGCGGAAUUCCGGGUGUAGCGGUGAAAUGCGUAGAUAUCCGGAGGAACACCGGUGGCGAAGGCGGCUUCCUGGACCGACACUGACGCUGAGGCGCGAAAGCUAGGGGAGCAAACGGG